CCCCGCCCUGGCAGGAGGGCACCCGCCGGCAGCUGAAAGUGCCUGCAGCCCCACCAGCCCCGCUCACACCCGCUCUCACCCACUCCCUUACUCCAGCUUUGCUCCAGCUCCACUUCCACCUCUUCCUGUUUCCCCCAUGCUGGACUCCGAUUGGCUGAGAGAGACGUCAUUCAAAUCCACUCCAUGUUUCUCUUUCCAGCCAAUAGGAGUGCAGCACUGUGGGCGUUGCCAUGGAAGCAGUGAAGCCUCCUGCCCUGGCAGCCAGCUCUGCCCCCUGCCCCUGUGGUCAAUCGCCAUCUUGUGGGCGGCAUCACGGAGCAUCGCGAGGCGUCGUGGAGCCUCGGGGCAGCGUGGCCCCGUGUGCCCGGGCACUGCGGGGCCCCGGGGCGUGGCUGCUCCCCCGCCGGGGUUGGGCUCUGCCGCGGGGGCCCCGCAGGGCUCCUGGCUGCCCUGUGCCCGGGGACGGUGGGGGGCACGAGGGAGCAGCCCUGGGGCCUGUGCUGGUGCCGGCCCUGGCGUUGGCGUGGGGGCCCUGGACAUGGCCAUGGGUGCUGGAGCCCGUGGGCAGCAUCCUGCUGCCCCCAGGGCAGGGCAGGGCAGGGCCCUGUUGCCCCUGGGGCCCCGACCCCCUGCCCGCAGCUGUCCCAGGGCUCGGCAGUCCUCGCGCUGCACCCGGCAAGGCUGGGCCGCGGCCAGGCAGAGGCUGCUCUUUGCAGGGCCAGGCCGGGCCCCGGCGCAUCGCUGCAGAGGGCUGAGGAGCCCCAGGGGCACAGGGCAGCCAGGGGCAGAGCAGCUCUGGACCUGCUGGUGCUGGGCAGCAGAGGUGUAUGGCUGGGAGGGGGCUGGGGGAGAUGGCGCUGCUGGACUGCCCCCAGCACUGCCCCCCAUGGAUCAGAGGAAAAUGCUUGGGGUCAGCAGGGACUUGUGGGGUGGCCGUGGCACCCCCACCUGUUCCCAAGCUGCUCUCCCAAACAGGCUGUCUUUUGGGUGCAGAGGUUGGACCCCCAUUUGCAGGAGGACAGGGUCUGUGGCCAUCUGAGGACAAGAUCUCUGAGCCUAAACCAUGCUCUGCCAAGUUGGAAGCAUAAAAGGAUCCACAUGGAGGGAGCAGAGGUUCUCCGAAAGGAGCAGAAACCUUGGGGUUAUUACAGGUGAAGGUUUCAUUUCCCAUAUGGGCAUUUCCA
rnacentral:lncRNA from 1 species